rnacentral:rRNA from 2 species
GGAUGCGAUCAUACCAGCACUAAAGCACCGGAUGACUACCUAACUUUGAAGUUAAGCGUGCUUGGGCGAGAGUAGUACUAGGAUGGGUGACCUCCUGGGAAGUCCUCGUGUUGCAUUCC